rnacentral:rRNA from 1 species
UGGGGAAUAUUGGACAAUGGGCGAAAGCCUGAUCCAGCCAUGCCGCGUGUGUGAAGAAGGUCUUCGGAUUGUAAAGCACUUUAAGUUGGGAGGAAGGGCAGUUACCUAAUACGUAUCUGUUUUGACGUUACCGACAGAAUAAGCACCGGCUAACUCUGUGCCAGCAGCCGCGGUAAUACAGAGGGUGCAAGCGUUAAUCGGAAUUACUGGGCGUAAAGCGCGCGUAGGUGGUUUGUUAAGUUGGAUGUGAAAUCCCCGGGCUCAACCUGGGAACUGCAUUCAAAACUGACUGACUAGAGUAUGGUAGAGGAGGGCGGAAUUCCCGGUGUAGCGGUGAAAUGCGUAGAUAUCGGGAGGAACAUCAGUGGCGAAGGCAGCGCACUGGCCAAAAUCUGACGCUCACACACGAAAGCUAGGGUAGCGAAGAGGAUUAGAUACCCGCGUAGUCCCUGAGCGGGCUGGCAAGGCGCAU